AUAUUUGUGAAUUUUCUUAUUGUUUCUGUACUUUGUCAUGUCAUCUUUUUAAGAAGAUUAGUUUUCUCAAAUUGCCACGAGUCUUCUUGAGCUUUGCCACCAGUUAAACUUUAGGUUUUAUUAACUUUGCAUUUAUGAUGCUGAUAAAAAACAUCUUUGCAUUCAUUAUUUUCUUUGCUGUUAUUCUUUUUGCUACUCUUGUGGAGUCGGAGUUCUUGUAAUUGGGCCUUUGACUUUGAUGAUUUGAUUAUCUUCUACUUGUGUUGUACUGAACUUUGAGCUUUGCCAUGAGACUUCUUGAGCUUUGCCAUGAGUCUUCGUGAGCUGCCAUGAGUCUUUGUGAGCUGCCAUGAGUCUUCUUGUGCUUUGCCAUGAGUCUUUGUGAGCUGCCAUGAGUCUUUGUGAGCUGCCAUGAGUCUUCUUGAGCUUUGCCAUGAGUCUUCUUGUGCUUUGCCAUGAGUCUUCUUGAGCUUUGCCAUGAGUCUUCUUCAGCUUUGCCAUGAGACUUCUUGAGCUUCGUCACGAGACUUCUUGAGCUUUGCCAUGAGUCUUCGUGAGCUUUGCCAUGAGUCUUCUUGAGCUUUGCCAUGAAUCUUCUUGAGCUUUUACAUGAAGGAUGUAGGGUUCAGGUUUUGGAAACAGUGGAUGGAGAUACAGUUAAAGUUUAGGUUUUAUUAUCUUUGCAUUCAUUAUUUUCGUUGUUGUUAUUCUUUUUGCUACUCUUGUGGAGUGGGAGUUCUUGUAAUUGGGCCUUUGACUUUGAUGAUUUGAUUAUCUUCUACUUGUGUUGUAGUGAACUUUGAGCUUUGCCAUGAUUCUUCUUGAGCUUUGCCAUGAGACUUGUUGAGCUUUGCAAUGAGACUUGUUGAGCUUUUACAUGAAGGAUGUAGGGGUCAGGUUUUGGAAACAGCGGAUGGAGAUACAGUUAAAGUUUAGGUUUUAUUAUCUUUACAUUUAUUAUGCUGAUAAAAAAAAAAUUGCAUUCAUUAUUUUCUUUGCUGUUAUUCUUUUUGCUACUCUUGUGGAGCGGGAGUUCUUGUAAUUGGGCCUUUGACUUUGAUGAUCUGAUUAUCUUUUUCUAUUUGUGUUGGAAUGAACACUUACCAUGGAUGUUUGUUGGACAUAUUGUGAAGCUUCAGGUUUUAUUACUUUUCUACUCACUAUUUUUCUUAUUUGCUCGAUUUGGAAUGUCUACAGUUUCUCUUAUUGGCUGGAUAGUUGGAAGGUAUUUCAUUGUAUGUAUCUAAGCAAGAGUGAUGCGUCUAGGUCCUCCAUCAUCUACCGUUAUUGAUUAUAGUUUUCUUGAAUUCAUUGGCCUUACAGGAAAGCUAAGCAAUGAAGUGUGGUGUAGGAUGUAAAAAUGGUGGGUCGAAAUUCUGUGGUGAAGCUAAAUGUUUCUUUCACCAGGACAUUGUUGUGUUCAACUGAUUUAAUUUUUAACUGGCUCAACUUGUCGGUUUGAUUAUAAUCUUGUUUGUAACUUGUUGGUUUGAUUAUAAUCUUGGUUGUAUUUUGAUAAUGUAUGUUUCUAAGAGGCAUUGUGGGAUGAGAAUGAGACAAGUACAGUUGAACUUUACUCUUUGAUUUGAUGGUUUGCUUCUUGGUUUGAAAAGUUCUACUAUUUAAUUUUGAUGACUUCUCUGCAUAAUUCUAUAAUAUAGGUCUUUUGUUCUAUAUAGGUCUUUUGUUCUUUUAAUAAUUUUCCAAAACCUUUCGAUUCAUUAUUCUUGAUCCCGAACAUAUGGGUUGAGUUGUGAACUUCUUUGGACUUUUUGCAUGUAACUCUUACGCUGAAAUUAGUAUAAGAAUGAUCCUGAAAUUGAAAUUGUUUAAAUGCUUCACUUUUGUUUCAACAAUCUCCAUAUGUGUUUCUCGUUCCUUGAGUUUUGAAAUUUGCAUUUAUUUGUUUGCAACACAUUGAGUCUUUAUCUGAGGUUUCUCUUUCAGUUGAUUAACUCAACCAGUGAUGGAAUAUAGUGGGACGACUAACAUGUCUAUUCAAGCAGUUAUAGAUUUUUUUUCUUUUUUUUCCUUUAUUGUUUAUUGAGUUGAGUGUUUUCAAAAUAUUUCUGUAGCCACUUGGGAUUGAAAGUCCAACGUUAUGCCUGACAUUGGAUAAUUGGACUUCUUUUAUUAGUUUUCCAAACCGUUCAUUUUUUUCAUAUUUGUUCUAUUUGGACAGGAAUUGUAGGUGAGAAAGAUAAUGGAGUUUUGGAGGUGAAUUUGUUUAAUAUUUGUUCUAUUUGGACAGGAAUUGUAUGUGAAAAAGAUAAUGAAGUUUUGGAGGUGAAUUUGUUAAUUCCAGUGAAAACGACGAAGAACUCUUGAUAAAGUAAUUUUCUUUGUUAUUAUAUUUCUCUACCCAAUCCAGGUGUUGCAUUAAUCCCUUUGCAGCAUACAGAACUGUAACCGAUCUUAAGUUUGUAUGCAACGAUGUUUUUGGAAAUUUUGUGUCACAAACUUAUUAUUAGGAGACUACGACUUCCUUGGUUUUAUCUGAUCAUUCUGGACUUGCUAUCUUCUUCUGUGGGUUUUGGUUAGGUUUCAAUUUUCAGUAAUGUCUGGUAUGUUGACAGUAUUGGAUUUCCUUGUUUGCAUUUCAAAAACUGAACCAAUCUCAAGGCAUUACGCUUCUAUAGUUGGAGUAGUAUGAGACAACUUUGUUUCUCUGAAAUUUAGAGAGUCUCUUUAAUAUUGCAUGGUAAUUUUUUUAUACGAUGUACAAGUAUAUCCAGUUUUAUUUGGAUAUUUUUUAGCAACAAUGCUUUUGGAAUAGGAUUUGUUUGAGCGCUACCAUGAGAAAGUUCAAUUUGAAACGACAACCACUCAUAAUAGCCUAAUUUCUUCUAUAUGAGGUUUCCCCUUUUAUUUAACUUCUAAGGAAUUGAUUACCAACAUUAGGAUUGAAUUGUGAUUUGUUUUUCUACAGUGGUUUAUGAUUGUAUUCAAACAAUGUUUGGAUCUCAUCGAACCUUUAAUGAGUUGAUUUCUGAGUUUAAGAAUUCGUCUAAUAUUUUCUAAAAUUCCUCCCAUGGAACAAGUGUUUUAAGUUUUCUUGAAUUUUUUCUAUUUACCGGUAAGACAAGCAAUGGAUGUGUGAGGACAUGUAGAAACAUGCGGAUCAAUUAAAGCCUUAGUUUGUGUUAAUUCGUGACUAGCUAUUUGAAUGCAGUUUUUUAUGUGGUGACAAAGAUCUAUCAAAAUAAAAAAAUUGGUUUAGGAUUUCCUCUCUAUUUGAUAUUUUCAGAUUUGAUCACCAAAUAUAAGGAUUUUCCGUUACCAUUUGUUUUUCUGCAGUGAUGUUUGCAUUAUGUUUCAUGCUACGUCUAAUGGAUCAUGUUGUCUGGAAGGUUUUAUGGCUCUUGGUAACAGGCUUUACAAGUGCUUCAGAGGAUCAGUAGUUUCAGAGCUGAUACCUAUUAUCAUAAUUGUGUCUCGCAGUGUGAAUUGUUCAAGUUUAUUUAUUUGCAAAAGGGAUCAGUUCUCCAAUAAUUUUUGCAGAAGAUUGGAUGGCUAACAUUAUUGUUCGUUCAUUUGAUCCAGUAAGAGCUCAUUCUAGAAAUGUGGACUUCUCUUUAAAAGCCUUUAGUAUGUUUACUAUCUUCAAAAGAUAUUUUUUCUGGAUCUAUUGUUUUGACAGAGCAGGUCUUCGAGGAAGUCACGGGUCUCUUAGAUUUGGAAUUGUUCAAGUACCAUCAACAUGAUUUCAUGAUCUCUUAUGAUUUCCCCUGAAUUUUUGGUUGUUGUUUUGACAGGGUAGGGUUUGGGUAGAGUUUGGGUUUUUGGAUUAGGAAUUGUCCAACUACCAACAAUGUGUAAACCCUAAACCCUAAACCCUAAAUAUAUAUAUAUAUAUAUAUUUUUGCUAGUUUUAUUUUUCAUUGAAUUACUUAAUUGCUUUAUUAAUAUGAUCAUUUGAUUAUAAAAUUAUUCUUGGUAGUUAUAUAAUUAUUCAUGGUUGUUUUAUUACCUUUAAUAG
rnacentral:lncRNA from 1 species